AGGUUCAGCAGCCGUCACUCUCCCUUCCCCCUCACAGAAUGCUCUGCUAGGGUUUGCCCUAAGGUCCACUUCGAACUAGCUCAAACUCAGUUCCUACUCCGUCUCUUUAGCCGUUCCCAGGACAGCAGUGCUAGCUAUCGUGCCGCCAAGGCUUCCGUUAACCCUUCCUCCAGAUGGGCGAAGUUCUCGUGGUCAACAAGGGAAUGGUGAUUCCGCUGCUUAGCCAUCUGGGCUGGAGUUUUUCUUCAUGAUUUCUUUAGGGCUAUGGCCCAUGUAUCGCUUUAUGCAUUUCUACUAUAUUCUCUUUGUUAGACUUGUAUAUGGUUUCCGUCGGCAUCGUGGUGUGCCUAGUUCUGUAGGGAUUGUGUUAAGGACCCCAAUGCUACACUACAGUACUAUUAUUGU